rnacentral:pre_miRNA from 1 species
ACCUUUCCGUACCCAUGCUUAGAUUUCGUCAGCGACCAACGCUUUGGGGCUGAUGCAACUUCACAAAUAAGUGAAGCA